rnacentral:piRNA from 2 species
UUGUUCACAGUCAGUUACAGAUUGAACUC